CCAGGAUGGUCUCGAUCUCCUGACCUCGUGAUCCGCCCGUCUCAGCCUCCCAAAGUGCUGGGAUUACAGGCGUGAGCCACCGCGCCCGGCCUCCACUCCUUUGUUAAUACCAAGGAACAUGAUUGCUGAAAGAGUAUGUUUAGUUUUAUAGGAAACUGCCAAACCGUCUUCCCCAGUGGCUGUACCGUACCAUUUUUGCAUUUCCCCCAGCAACAAGUGAGAGUUGUUCCUGUUGCUCCACAUCCUUGCCAGCAUUUGGUGUAGUCCGCCUCGUUGUGAACCUUGAUGAACUUGCUGUGCAGGGACAGGUUGUGGCGGAUCGAGUUCUGGAGGGGCAGAGAUGGCAGGAAAGGGGCGUGAGGUACUGUAGGGGAGGUCAGUGGCCAGCGGUCAAGUCUAAGAGGAUGCUGGACCCUGAUGAUCUAGGGUUUAGGAUUUGGUGCCACCACCGCAGCAGGGUUCAUUUCGGGGCUUCAUUUCCCAGGUCAUUAAAGUUUAAGAAAAACUUUAAAUAAUUUACAAAAAAAGAGAAAAAGAUAAAAGAUAAAAGGGUGCUGGAACACAGCAGGGGUAUUCCUGGAGACUCAAAGAAAGUUGAAUCCAGGGGGGAAAACUGGUAGAAGUAGGGGUGGGGGUGGGGUGUGAGGGGAGACCACACACAUUUCCCGCUCCCAGACAAGCUGCUCAGCCUCUGCUCCAGACUUCUCUGUACAGCGGGUGGGAGAU
rnacentral:lncRNA from 1 species